GGCAGCGUGGCUCAGCGGCAAGAGCCCGGGCUCGGGGGUCCGAGAUCUUGGGUUCGAAUCCCGGCUCUGCCG
rfam:Ornithorhynchus anatinus chromosome 3, whole genome shotgun sequence.